UGAGGAAUAUUGGUCAAUGGGCGGAAGCCUGAACCAGCCAAGUAGCGUGAGGGAUGACUGCCCUAUGGGUUGUAAACCUCUUUUAUAAGGGAAUAAAAUACGGGACGUGUCCUGUUUUGCAUGUACCUUAUGAAUAAGGACCGGCUAAUUCCGUGCCAGCAGCCGCGGUAAUACGGAAGGUCCGGGCGUUAUCCGGAUUUAUUGGGUUUAAAGGGAGCGCAGACGGUCUUAUAAGCGUGACGUGAAAUGCAGCGGCUCAACCGUAUGAUGUGCGUCGCGAACUGUGAGACUUGAGUGUAUUCGAUGUCAGCGGAAUUUGUGGUGUAGCGGUGAAAUGCAUAGAUAUCACGCAGAACUCCGAUCGCGAAGGCAGCUUGCCAAGCCAUAACUGACACUGAAGCACGAAAGUGUGGGUAUCAAACAGGAUUAGAUACCCUGGUAGU
rnacentral:rRNA from 1 species